rnacentral:rRNA from 1 species
UACAGAGGGUGCGAGCGUUGUCCGGAAUCACUGGCGUAAAGGGCGCGUAGGUGGUGGCUUAAGCGUGCGGUGAAAGCUCGGGGCUCAACCCCGAGUCGGCCGUGCGAACUGGGCUCACUGGAGCAUAGUAGAGGCAGGUGGAAUUCCGGGUGUAGCGGUGGAAUGCGUAGAGAUCCGGAAGAACACCGGUGGCGAAGGCGGCCUGCUGGGCUAUGGCUGACACUGAGGCGCGACAGCGUGGGGAGCAAACAGGG